GAUGAAGAACGUAGCGAAAUGCGAUAAGUAAUGUGAAUUGCAGAAUUCAGUGAAUCAUCGAAUCUUUGAACGCACAUUGCGCCCGCCAGUAUUCUGGCGGGCAUGCCUGUUCGAGCGUCAUUUCAACCCUCAGGCCCCCAGUGCCUGGCGUUGGGGAACGGCGCGGCGCCCUCCGGGGCGCUGCCGGCCCCGAAAUUCAGUGGCGGUCUCGCUGUAGCCCUCCUCCGCGUAGUAGCACAACCUCGCGGCCUGGAGCUCGGCGGUGGCCAUGCCGUAAAACACCCCACUUCUGAAAGUUGACCUCGGAUCAGGUAGGAAUACCCGCUGAACUUAAGCAUAUCAAUAAGCGGAGGA
rnacentral:misc_RNA from 1 species